rnacentral:lncRNA from 1 species
CAUUCUCCAAGUCUGAGUUAUUUGGUCAAAAAAACCUCCAAAUGCUUCAGACAACUCUCGCAAACUUGUCAUAGCUUUUGGUAUUCCAGGCCACAGAAGAGCCCAGGUCACAUUGGGAAACGCAUGAACAUCCAAAAGUGCCUAGGACCCCGACUCUGGCUGUGGCUGUGGAUGCUUCUGAACAGUGCUAAGUGGAAGCCCAUGAAAGAACAGACUGUUCUCAAGGCCCAUGGAGGAAAAGAUGUUACAAGCCAUCCCUCCAGAUUCCUGGACAAGCUCUGAGUCCCUGCCCAGAAACCAAAAGGCAGAAUCAGUGUUACAUUUGUGGUCAGAUGAGCUAACGACAUCCUUCCUGACUUCUUUCUCAGAAUUAGGAAACCCUGAUUAGCAUUUAGAACCUCAUUUUCACAGACUUCACUCAUUAAAACAUCAAGACCUAGGUAACGCACCACUGAAAUUUCAUAAUAUGGAGGAUAUGUUUAAAUAUGUUUAAAAUAUGUAUUUUUAACUGUGGUUAAAAUAUGUUUUUAAAAUGUUUAUGAGUCAAAAUAAUUAAAAUUGCCAUUUAACGUAAG